UUGACUUCUCUGUCUAGCCCGUACCUGCAAUCCUGGGGGAUUAGGGAAAAGGGGUGAGCUACUAGAGCCCAGUGAGCAGAAUAAUAGAAAACAACAUUUAAAAUCUCAUGCCAUCAUGUAAUGCAACACAUCACAACAAAUCACAUCUCGGAUGGUAUUGUCACCAAUAGUCCUCUACAUUCCAAAGUGCCGGGACGUAGAAUGGGUACAACCGGUCUUUCUCUUAACAUAACAUAUCAUAACAUACCAAUGUGCUAGGGACGUAGAAUGGGUACAACCUGGACUUUCUCUUACGUAGUGCCAGGGACGUAGAAUGGGUACAACCUGGACUUCCAUACCAUACCAUGCCGUAGCAUCAUCGUAUCAUAUGAGGACUAAAGGGUCAUCCAAUAACCAAUCCACAUCAACAUCAUAAAUGCAAUGCAACAUAUUCGUGGAUUCUAAUGCAAACAACCUAUUUCAUCACAUGGCAUCCAUGAUGCAUGAUCAUGCUCAACUGUAUAAUUCAUUUGCUUUAAAAACAUAAGGUUUAUUCUACUCACCUCUGGCUAGCUCUGACAAAGACUUAUGCAGCUAACUCACUGCUGGGGUCCUCGGUUCCUCGGGUCCGAAC
rnacentral:lncRNA from 1 species